AUAGGGGAGCCGCAGGGAAACCGAGUCUUAACUGGGCGUUAAGUUGCAGGGUAUAGACCCGAAACCCGGUGAUCUAGCCAUGGGCAGGUUGAAGGUUGGGUAACACUAACUGGAGGACCGAACCGACUAAUGUUGAAAAAUUAGCGGAUGACUUGUGGCUGGGGGUGAAAGGCCAAUCAAACCGGGAGAUAGCUGGUUCUCCCCGAAAGCUAUUUAGGUAGCGCCUCGUGCAGUCAUCUUCGGGGGUAGAGCACUGUUUCGGCUAGGGGGUCAUCCCGACUUACCAACCCGAUGCAAACUGCGAAUACCGAAGAAUGUUAUCACGGGAGACACACGGCGGGUGCUAACGUCCGUCGUGAAGAGGGAAACAACCCAGACCGCCAGCUAAGGUCCCCAAGUCAUGGUUAAGUGGGAAACGAAGUGGGAAGGCUCAGACAGCCAGGAUGUUGGCUUAGAAGCAGCCACCAUUUAAAGAAAGCGUAAUAGCUCACUGGUCGAGUCGGCCUGCGCGGAAGAUGUAACGGGGCUAAACCAUGCACCGAAGCUGCGGCAGCGACACUCAGGUGUUGUUGGGUAGGGGAGCGUUCUGUAAGCCGGUGAAGGUGUGCUGUGAGGCAUGCUGGAGGUAUCAGAAGUGCGAAUGCUGACAUAAGUAACGAUAAAGCGGGUGAAAAACCCGCUCGCCGGAAGACCAAGGGUUCCUGUCCAACGUUAAUCGGGGCAGGGUGAGUCGACCCCUAAGGCGAGGCCGAAAGGCGUAGUCGAUGGGCAACGGGUUAAUAUUCCCGUACCCGGUGUGACUGCGAAGGGGGGACGGAGAAGGCUAGGCUGGCCGGGCGACGGUUUGUCCCGGUUUAAGCGUGUAGGUGGGGGCUCCCGGCAAAUCCGGAGCGCCAUAACACUGAGGCGUGAUGACGAGGCACUACGGUGCUGAAGUAGCUGAUGCCCUGCUUCCAGGAAAAGCCUCUAAGCACCAGGUCACAUUGGAUCGUACCCCAAACCGACACAGGUGGUCAGGUAGAGAAUACUCAGGCGCUUGAGAGAACUCGGGUGAAGGAACUAGGCAAAAUGGUGCCGUAACUUCGGGAGAAGGCACGCUGGCGUCAGGUGAAGGACCGUGCGUCCGGAGCCGAGGCCAGUCGCAGAUACCAGCUGGCUGCAACUGUUUAAUAAAAACACAGCACUGUGCAAACACGAAAGUGGACGUAUACGGUGUGACGCCUGCCCGGUGCUGGAAGGUUAAUUGAUGGGGUUAUCCUCCGGGAGAAGCUCUUGAUCGAAGCCCCAGUAAACGGCGGCCGUAACUAUAACGGUCCUAAGGUAGCGAAAUUCCUUGUCGGGUAAGUUCCGACCUGCACGAAUGGCGUAAUGAUGGCCAGGCUGUCUCCACCCGAGACUCAGUGAAAUUGAACUCGCUGUGAAGAUGCAGUGUACCCGCGGCAAGACGGAAAGACCCCGUGAACCUUUACUAUAGCUUGACACUGAACCUUGAGCCUUGAUGUGUAGGAUAGGUGGGAGGCUGAGAAGUGCGGACGCCAGUCUGCAUGGAGCCAACCUUGAAAUACCACCCUUGAAUGUUUGAUGUUCUAACGUGGGCCCGUUAUCCGGGCUGCGGACAGUGUCUGGUGGGUAGUUUGACUGGGGCGGUCUCCUCCCAAAGCGUAACGGAGGAGCACGAAGGUUAGCUAAUCACGGUCGGACAUCGUGAGGUUAGUGCAAUGGCAUAAGCUGGCUUGACUGCGAGAGUGACAGCUCGAGCAGGUACGAAAGUAGGUCAUAGUGAUCCGGUGGUUCUGUAUGGAAGGGCCAUCGCUCAACGGAUAAAAGGUACUCCGGGGAUAACAGGCUGAUACCGCCCAAGAGUUCAUAUCGACGGCGGUGUUUGGCACCUCGAUGUCGGCUCAUCACAUCCUGGGGCUGAAGUAGGUCCCAAGGGUACGGCUGUUCGCCGUUUAAAGUGGUACGCGAGCUGGGUUUAGAACGUCGUGAGACAGUUCGGUCCCUAUCUGCCGUGGGCGUUGGAAGAUUGAAAGGGGCUGCUCCUAGUACGAGAGGACCGGAGUGGACGCACCACUGGUGUUCGGGUUGUCAUGCCAAUGGCAUUGCCCGGUAGCUACGUGCGGCAGAGAUAACCGCUGAAAGCAUCUAAGCGGGAAACUUGCCUUGAGAUGAGUCUUCCCUUGUCCCUUGAGGACACUGAAGGAACGUUCGAGACGAGGACGUGGAUAGGCUGGGUGUGUAAGCGUUGCGAGACGUUGAGCUAACCAGUACUAAUGAACCGUGCGGCUUAACCUG
rnacentral:rRNA from 1 species